AUACGAAGGGCCCGAGCGUUGCGCGGAAUCAUUGGGCUUAAAGAGUGCGUAGGCGGACCCGUAAGUGCCUUGUGAAAUCCCACGGCUCAACCGUGGAACUGCUCGGCAGACUGCGGGUCUUGAGGCCGGUAGAGGUCGCCGGAACGUUAGGUGGAGCGGUGAAAUGCGUAGAUAUCGACAGGAACGCCGGUGGCGAAGGCGGUUGACUGGGCCUGUCCUGACGCUCAGGCACGAAAGCGUGGGGAGCAAACAGGAUUAGAAACCCCAGUAGUCC
rnacentral:rRNA from 1 species